CUGGUUCAGCAGGUUUCCUUUCCCGGCACUAGCCAGCUCCUCUUUCUGGGUACCGCACCCAAACCAAGAGGCAGAGCCGCAGGAAUGCUGUGGCCACGCCUCCUCGCCGUAACUAUAAAACGGCUCUCAGCCUACUGCUUGCAGUCAAAGAGAUGGACUAAGCGUAACGGAGGAGACAGAAGGAGAGAAACAAGCGUGGACCCCGUCAAAAGGUUUAGCCUUGGUGCUGCCACUCCUGCAGCUUUGUUUACGCGUUAAAGACAUUAUGGCCAAUUACUUCAUCAGAAAAUUUGAAGAGUCGGAUCAUCACACUGUAAAAGAGUUUUAUGCAAGGGGGCUGCUUGAAUAUGUUAACAGAAGAGUCAAGUACUUUCUGGCUAGUUCUAUCAUCCAGCUUUUCCUGGUGUGCACAUUUGCCAUUCUCUUUGUGACCACUCACACCAUUCUCUUCUCAACCUUUGUGAUUCUGCUUCUUCUAGCUGCGGAGUGGAUUAAGUGUUCCUUAGGCUUUAGAUGGCACAUCAAGAAAACCAUCAAUGAGGUCUUGUUCAACAUAAGGAAAACCUUUCUCCAAAGCAAAGACUCAUGCUUCUAUGUGGUGAUAUGCAACAAUCAACUUGUGGGCAUGUAUUCUAUUUCACCAUCCAAAGAAGAGUCAAGUUCCCUGGAGUUGAACCACGUGUAUGUAAAGAAGGGUUACAGACGCUUAGGCAUUGCCAGAGCCCUCUGCUUGAAAGCACUCGACUUUGCAUGUGCCCGGAAAUACCGUGCUGUAGUGCUGAAUACAAUGUGCUUCCAGUAUGAAGCUCAGAAAUUAUACGAGAGCAUAGGAUUUCAAAGGUAUGGGGAAAUCCUACCACCUGGAAUUAUAAACCGAAUUAUUAACUUCAGUUUAUUUCAAUAUAGGUAUGAUAUUUGUAUGGACAAAGAAAAGUCUGUUUCAUAAAUUGUGCAUCCAAAAAUGUGUUUGUUAAUUAUGUUUUCUAAGCAUUAUGGUGGAUUUAUCUUUUCCAGAGUGUAUUUUUGUUAAUACUGGAAUAAGACUGUAUUUUAAUGGGGAUUUACAAACCUCUACAAAUCUGUUUUGCCAAGCUACUUAAAAAAGAGAAAAAGAAAAAGAUACAAAAAUAAGAUAAAAGUGACACUAGGUCUCACAGAAAAUAUUUAAGUGUUCUUAAACUCAAAAAUAGUAUUAUGGAAUUAACAAUAAAUGGUACAGUUAUAUAAAUGGUUAAAGUAAUGGCUAGGUUGCAGAAGACAUGAAAUUAAAUUAAAUUUGCUUCCGAGAAGGACAGUUAUGGCAAAUUUUAGACAAGAUACUAAAGUCCAAAUGUCCAUUUUGUAUUUUUAAUAUUUUACUAGUGGAGAAAAAUACAAUAGAUUAAAAAAUGAUAAAGAGGUCAAAUGCAUUUAAUUGAGGCAUUUAAUUGAAUCUAUUAAUAUGUUACUAUUUAUUAUUUUACAGUACACACACACAUACAAAUGCUGUCAUGACUUAUAUCAAAAAUAACAAGGGCCUUUCUUUGUAAUAUUUUUGUACUGGUGGUUUAAAAGCUCUACACAGUAUGUGACAACAGUAGCACACCAAAGCUGAUCCUAGGUGUUGACGUGUGACAUUUUUUCUUCUACAUUAUACAUUGCUGCACUGCUUUAGUGUUAGAUACUUACAGACUUAGAAUUGGUACUUUUUAUAAGUGAAGAUAUUAUAGAACACACCCUUUUUAAAUUAUUUUAUUAUUACUAUAUACUAGUAGAUUUUUCCUUUUCUCUCUGACAAAAAAAAAGCACUGGGGCAAAUGGCAUUAUAAUUUAAAAAUAAUAUUAUCAAUUCAACCCAGCCACAGGGGAAGCACAAACCAGUGUGUUUCUUAAUGCUGGUCCCAAGCCCAGAUAAAUGGGGAGGGUUAUGUCAGGAAGGGCAUCCAGUGUAAAAUUUUGCUAAAUCAAUAUGCGGACAAUUUUGGGUGAUCCACUGUGGCAACCCCAAAUGGGAGCAGCCGAAAGAAGAAGAAGAAUUAUCAAUGCUUGUUUUUAAUAGCUAUCCAUCCAUCCAUUAUCCAACCCGCUAUAUCCUAACUACAGGGUCACGGGGGUCUACUGGAGCCAAUCCCAGUCAAGACAGGGCGCAAGACAGGAAACAAACCCCAGGCAGGGUGCCAGCCUAUCGCAGGGUACACACACACCAAGCACAAUUUAGGAUCGCCAAUGCACCUAACCUGCAUGUCUUUGGACUGUGGGAGGAAACCCACGCAGACACGGGGAGAACAUGUAAACUCCACGCAGGGAGGACCCAGGAAGCGAACCCGGGUCUUCUAACAGUGAGGCAGCAGCGCUACCCACUGUUCAAUACCUAGCAUAGCUUUUAAUGUUUUACUAUUUUGCAACUAACACCAGUUUAAAUGAUAGGGCAACUAAACAUGUUUAGUGCAUAUUUCAAUGGUUAGUUUUUAGGUUAUAAUGCUUUACUGCAUCUUAAUGAACAUGCGAGAUUAAUUAAAAUGAGAAUUAAACAACAUUAGAUAUACAAAAAAAAAAUCACUGUAUCCUUUUUUUGAAGGCUUUGUGCUCGAGUGGGAAUUUCAUGAAUUCUCAAACCACAAUGCUCGCUAAGCUUCAUCUAUAGCCUGAUACGGAGCAGACCAAGACAUAACAAUUAGCUAUUGUACUUCAGUUGCCAAAUACAGCUUCCUUUGGUGGAGCCGAAAUCAGCACAGAUAAGCCUAGCAUCUCAAAUUAAGCAAAGCUUAUGAAGGAAACUGACCCCAACAACCUGGUGAUAGCUUUUUGUUCACUGACAACAGCAGUUUCAGCAUGGCAACUACAAUCUUUUAUUUUAUAAAUUCAUGCAUUUUUCACAUAAACCAGGCAAACAAAACACUUUUCUGAAUACAGAAAGAAGCACAUGACCACAGAGAAACAGAGACACACACAGUCAGCCAAACAGUAAGCUUCAUCUCAACUACAUGGCCUUGAUCAAUGUACAAUAUGGAGUCUUUAAUGCUAGCUGUAACUAGCUACCAUGGUGAGAUGCUUGUGAGCACAGAGACACUGAGGUAAGUGGCAAGCUUAACAGCAAUGUCAACUACUGUAUAUGCUUUAAUAUGCCCUCUUUAAUACACUUCAGACCUGUGGCCUUCACCAUGUAUAACCAUGUUAGGUCCAGCCCCAUACCCCCUAAAUAGGGGGUUGACCUUAUAUUUAAUUGCAAAAUAACAGGAUUAAGAAAAUAUAGGCAACCUGUAUAUUCUAACAUAACUGUAUAAUGUUGCUUGAUAAUACAAAUUGGUUAUUGUGCUGGGCAAUAAGCUUGUACAUAUAUUGCAUAAUGCAAAAUGGACUGACUCACUCAACAUCACACACAGUUUACGCUUUAGUUAAGAAGCUGACAUUUGAUUUCUACAAUUAGGAAUAAGAUGGAAGGAGAAAAGUCAAAGCUCAAGGAAGAUUCCAAGCUCAAUGGUUAACAAACACUAUGAAGCUCCAGAUGCUGUGACAGUUGGUGCUGCUUUGCUAGAAGGGAGGGGAAGAGAGGGUGAUGUAGAGGUGGAAGUGAUGGCCCUAGCUUGUAUUGGAUCUGAGGACAAUAGCAUGAGUUUAAACAUAAUGGGUUCCUCCACGGUAAUAAAUAUUCACAUCUAUGGACUUUGAAAGGGAAGCAUGCCCCCCAAACUUCCAAAAAUCAUCUACAUGUGCAUUUGCUUACCAACCCAGCCCCCUCUUCUAAAUAUACAUUUGCAUCUGCAGACUUAAAGAGAAGGAACUAGGGAUGCACCGAUAUGGGAAUUUUGGCCCGAUGCUGCUAUCUGAUAAUGUCCAUGUACUUAUCUGCCGAUGCCAAUACCAAUGCAGAUAUACAUAUUUAUAAGAUACACAGAAAAAUGAGACUUGAUCUGUCUGGACAAGAAUUACAAAGUGAACAUUUAUUUGUAUAACAAUUUUGCACACCACAUUCAAUCAUUAAAAACAAAUGAUAUCUGCCACAUUUGGCUGGCUAUAUGGGAAACAGUUUUACAGGGUUUUUUUUUUUUUUGUUCGUUAUUUCACCUUCUACAAUUUCUUUUUUAGGAAUUUGUUAGUUUUCACAUACCCCUUGGGGUCAGAGAUUGUACAGCACCCCUAGAGCAAUUACAGGUUAAGGGUCUUGCUCAAGGGCCCAGCAGAGUAGGAUCUCUUUUGGCAGUGACGGGAAUUUGAACCGGCAACCUUUGGGAUACCAGUGCAGAUCCUUAGCCUCAGAGCCACCUUUCCACCAAGGGUGUUGCUUUAAAUAACACUUUUCUCUUUCUUUUUGAUGGAACAAAUACAACAAAUUCAACAAUAAUCGAAAAAAUGAAAACUGAAAAAAAUGGUAAAACGUACAAUGACAAUGAAAUAAGCAAUACCACUUAAGAAUAACAACUUUUGCAGAUUAUUUACAAUCAUUAAAAUGGCUCCUUUGUUUUACAGUCUGCAGUAUUAAAUACUAUAUACUACUUUUUUUCUUUCUUUUUGAUGGAAUAAAUGUAACCGAUCUAUAAUUUAAAAAAACAGAAAAGUGUACAACAGUAAAGAAAUAAAUAACUUUUUUGGAGGCUUA